rnacentral:misc_RNA from 1 species
GAAAUAUGCUGUAAUUAUUUAUUUCAAUAUUUACAAACGAUUAUUGUUUUGGGAUCCCCAUUUCAUAAAAAGACAAAAGAACAUUCUGAAAGCCAUCACAUUAACAAUGCAAGAUCACAAAUUUGAUGACCAAAUAUGGAAGACUAGCAACUGGCAUCAAACUAAAGCUUAUUUAAAGAGAUAAAUGAGAUCUAGAGACCAAAUAAUUUGUGCGGACUGCUAGCCAGGUAACUAAAACUCAAAGGAGAGAGAAACUGGGUAAAAUGAAUCUCUGCCUGAAGAAAAGCAAUAGAUGGG